rnacentral:rRNA from 1 species
GACGAACCGUCCUAACGUUGUUCGGAAUCACUGGGCUUAAAGGGCGCGUAGGCUGUCGGCAAAGUUAGGGGUGAAAUCUUUCGGCUUAACCGGAAAAGUGCCUUUAAAACUAGUCGACUCGAGCGAGAUAGGGGCAUGUGGAACUUCCGGUGGAGCGGUGAAAUGCGUAGAGAUCGGAAAGAACACCAACGGCGAAAGCACUCUGCUGGGCCGACACUGACACUGAGAGACGAAAGCUAGGGGAGCGAAUGGG